AAUUCAGCUGGCCCAAGGAUGGAUAUUGUGUUACUAGAAGAUUCGAAGCAGACUGGGUUCCUUGCCCAGAGCAUAGAGGAAUAUGCUGAAGCCAUUAUUGAAGUCAUUAAGAUGCCAGAGAAUGAGAGGCUGGAGAUAGCUGCUGCUGCGAGGAAGCGAGCCUCCAUGUUCUCAGAGCAAAGGUUUUAUGAAGAUUUUAAGGCUGCUGUGCGACCAAUCUUUUGUGAUGGUACCAAAUGAUUACAAAAUCUUUGUUUCCAUAAAUACAAGAGAUGAAUUUUGUUGCAACAUACUUAAACUUUGUCCUAUCUUGUCUUUUUCUGGUUUUCCUUUUUCUUAUAAAUUUUACUUUAGAUUGUAUUUAUACUUUGUCAGUAACUUAGCCUUGAAGUUACUAAUUACAGGAAAAAAGUUUGCCUCUGAUUUGGCAGUUAGAAUAAAAGAGAUGGUCCUCCUUUCUUUAGGUUUAGCUAAAGUAGAUAGUCAUAUAUACUGGCACAGCGGGGCGUUACAGAUGAAGGGAAUAAUAUUUAUGGGUCUAAUGUCUGUCUGGCGAAAAAAAAUUCAAUUCUAUCUUUAAUUCAUGUUGAAUUUUGUGCAGCUACGUAUUUUCUUAGGAGCUGUAAAUUUUUCAAUCAGUUUUGCUGUGAUGUUCAUGCAUUAAGCAUAUCCGAGAAUUCGUUUUCAUUUUUAUUUAUUGUUGGGAAGGUGGGGAGGAGGGGGAUUUAUUUAUUAAAAGAAAGAAUGAUAUGUUUUUGGAAGAAUUUGGUCUAACAUGUUUUUCUUGGACAGUUUCCUUGGCAAUAACUGGAGUUACUUGACAAUAAUAAAAGAUGGGUGUUGCCCAAAAAAUGGAUUAUACAUACUUCUCAUAUAGUUUUUCAGUGAAUAAAUGAAAUUAACGGUGGAAAUUAUAUAUGUCUGACAAGGAAAAAAGUUUAUCAUAGUGAAUAAAUAAAAGCUUCUAACACUUCUGAAUUUAAUUUUCAUUUACAUGUAAAAUUUUAAGUUUGACCCCACGGUGUGGGGUAAUACUGGGUAUGUUGUUAUUGACUUAUUGUUGUAAAAUUUUAAGUUUAAUAUCUUAAUUUCCAUAUACACUUUUAGAAAUGACUUUCUUUUCUGAGACCAAAAAUAAAAAAGGAAAACAGUAGCUUAUGUAUUUGUUGGUUGGUUUUAUGUUCAUGGGAAACAGUAAGAUCAUAGAAAUUCAGAUCCCAUUAGGAAAAAUAUAGUGGAGGAUAAUAUCGGGGCCCCCAUGUGCACCAUACAUUUUGCAAGUGAAGAAGAAGCAGUGUUCCAAGUGCACCAGUGCUGAUUACACUGUUCCUCAGCGACCGUUAAUUUCUGCAGUCUCCACUGUCCAGCACUUUUCAUGGUAGGGUCUUCAACUCCUCAUUGGAGGAACCAGAAUAAGGGAGGAGACAGUAGCUGUUUCCAAGUCUUUGGGGGCUUUCAGCAACAAUGGGAAAAAGAUCAGAAUUCCAGGACACAGAUUGCUGAGCAACAGACUAGUUAGGUGCCUAACAAAUGUUGAAGCCUUUAUAUUACGCGCUGCAGAUCUUAAAGAAGUCACCAAUCUUUUCGCAAGAUUCUCGAGUAGUCUACGUGUUCAAGGUGCCAUAAGGUAUAAAUCUCCAUAUAGGCGGCGGCCAGUACCAGUUGCCUGGAGAUGCAAGAAGAAACGUCAAAGCCGAGCAGACUCUUCCAGCCCCCGACACUAAUAUAUCAAUCUUAAACUACCUUAGUAUAAUUCAUUAGUUCUUCUGAAUACAUUUUAAAAUAUUUACAAAUUGUUUCUGUACAUCUAUUUCUACGUUUUGUAUGUAAUAUACAGUAGUUGUAAUCAGAAUCGGACUGAAACUUUGUAUUGAAAUAACCAAUAUAUUAACCCCAGACGAACGGUUUAUAAUGUUAAAAAAAUAUGUUUUUGAUGAAAAAAAUAAUACUAGUAUAAUCUGUUUUCUUCUGUGGCUAUAUAGAUGUGUGCGUGUGUCAAGAUGGAUGAUGAGAUGUAAUACUGUGCUUUAUGCACCGCUUUGUUGAAACGGUUUAUACUUGAUGAAUGAACAAAUUGCGUAGACUAGAGAGCUAUAUAGAAGUUCGAAUAUCUUCAGGAACUUAUUGAAUAUUUGAAGUACAACACUUGCCCAGCUCAUCUGUAUGCCACAUCAAUAUCACCUCCAGCUGCGCAACAAAGGUGAAGAUCUAGUAGAGGGGCUCAGAAACUAGCACGCAUACGCGACAAUAGCAAUAUUUUCCAUCAGAAGUACUGCAGAAGAUGGGUUUUGAGGUCCUGGGGGACAAUGAUUCCCCAUUGAUUCACAUCAUGCUCUACUAUCCUGCAAAAACACGUACUUUUUCAAGGGUAGUGUCUCUAGACAGAAUGUACAAUUUCUUCUCUUAUCAUUGCAGGCUCAUACUUUUACA